rnacentral:rRNA from 1 species
GACGAACGCUGGCGGCGUGCCUAAUACAUGCAAGUCGAGCGCAGGAAGCUGACGGAACUCUUCGGAGGGAAGGCAGUGGAAUGAGCGGCGGACGAGUGAGUAACACGUAAGGAACCUGCCUCAAGGAUUGGGAUAACUCCGAGAAAUCGGAGCUAAUACCGGAUAGUUCAACGGACCGCAUGGUCCGCUGAUGAAAGGCGCUUCGGCGUCACCUUGAGCUGGCCUUGCGGUGCAUUAGCUAGUUGGUGGGGUAACGGCCUACCAAGGCGACGAUGCAUAGCCGACCUGAGAGGGUGAUCGGCCACACUGGGACUGAGACACGGCCCAGACUCCUACGGGAGGCAGCAGUAGGGAAUCUUCCACAAUGGACGAAAGUCUGAUGGAGCAACGCCGCGUGAGUGAUGAAGGUUUUCGGAUCGUAAAACUCUGUUGUAAGGGAAGAACACGUACGAGAGGGAAUGCUCGUACCUUGACGGUACCUUACGAGAAAGCCACGGCUAACUACGUGCCAGCCGCCGCAGUAA